AAAUAUUAUUUUAGUUGGAAAUUGGAAAUCUUGAAAGAACUCGAUCAGUUAUGGCUGAAGAACUGGUGAAAUUAACAAAUCAAAAUGAUGACUUAGAAGAAAAAAUUAAGGAGAUCCCCAAGUUACGUGCACAAUUAAGGGAUUUGGAUCAAAGAUACAAUACCAUUCUGCAGAUGUAUGGAGAGAAAGCAGAAGCAGCAGAAGAAUUGAGAUUGGACCUUGAGGAUGUAAAAAAUAUGUACAAGACUCAGAUUGAUGAACUUCUGAAGCAAAGGCAUAGCUAAUUAUUGUUCAGGUUUUGAUCUAAAAAAAUGUUGCAUUAAAUUGUAGAGCUGUUUCUGUAAAUGUAGUUAAUUUGUAAAAAAAAUGUACUAUAAAGUGAUUAUAAUGUUGAGUUGAUGUGAUGGCAGGAAUCAUUGUGCUUUUAUGAUGACCGGCUAUCAGCCAUUAAAUUAUUUGUUAAUAUUUAAAAUCUUUUAUCUCCAGCUUACUCUCUUGUCUAUCAUAGUAUGCAUAUUUACUUGUACAGUAAUAACUUUAAUUGUGAAAACAUAUGAUUGAAACUCUCACAUUGAUGGUGUUGUACUGUGUCCUUAUGCCAGUAAAAGGGAUACUGCUGGCAAUUGGGAUUCUCUUAGCUCUGCAGUGCUUGCAUUGAUUCCAGGUCUGCUCCUGAGAGGUUGGGAAUCUCUGGGGGAAAAUACAAAAAUUGGAAACGAAGAAAGCAAGGAAAAAUUCUAUUGUGCAAAAUAUAUUAAUAUGGCAUUGCUAUUCAAAUAUAUAUAUAUAUAUAUGAAAAUUUGCACUGAUACAAAUUUACUUCUUCAUACUUAUCUAUUCCUAUCUAAAUGGAUAUUUAAAGGAAAUAUUGUGGGUACUUUUAACUAUAUUAAUAGCAAUGACUUGAUUUGCUAUAGGCAAUAAAAAAGGUGGGAUGUCUUUAUACCCUUGGUAUCCUGCUCAUGUAAUUUACUAUACUGCCUCUUUAAAACAACACAGAGCAACUUACAUUUUAAAAGCAACCAGAUACCCUCUACUUGAUACAAUGUGCUAUAUUUUAAAAUGUUUUUCUGUGUUUCAGCAUAAUAUAGAGAAAGAUAACAACAUUUAUUAGUUUAAAGAAUUCUAAAAGGCAAUGCAGGCAUAUGUUUGUAAGAAAGUUCACACUCAAAUAGUUCCUAAUUCAAUGUGUGUCAAUGCUUUAAUAUUUCAAAAGCCAGUAAACCUAUUCCAAAUGUUUCAAGUGACAUGCAAUGGUUUGAAAACUACUCUUUAAGAAAAUAUUUGUCAGAAUAUAAAUGAGUAAUGGUAUUGUACUUGAAAUUGUUUUCUAGUUCUUUAAGUGAAGCAGAAGAAUCAACAAUAUCAGACUCUUAAUAUUCAUACGGUUUUUGGAAUAUUACUGUUGUCACCUUAUUGUGGUUCAUUAUUUUUACAUGGUUAUAAGGAACAUUUUUAGAAAAUUAACUUUAUUCUACUGAGAUAUUUGACUUGAUUCAUCUUUUAAGGUUUUUAAAAAUAUUCCUAAAAAAAUGAAAAAUUAUUUGAUAUAUUUACCAAAAAUUUACCUGUUGACAAACAGAUAAAGACCACUCUCUGAAAAUAUGGAGAAGUAACUUGCCAUACUUCUUAGCUGGUUAACAGAGAAUUAUCUUAUGUUAGUAAGGUUUACUUUCCCUGGGUUAAUAAUUCUCCACAAAGGUUUUACUUAGCUUAAAGUAGAAACUUGGUAACUAACUUACCGUAUAUGAAUCAUACUCGGAAGAAACAUAUAAUAAUAACCUCCUGCAACUGAAUUGUUUCUGAAUAGUUGUAGAAAGUGUUGUAUUAUGGAUUCCUGCUACACUGAGAAAAAUAAUUUUUUAUACUAUAUGCAAAAAGUUGUAGCACAGAUAUUGAGGAUUCCCCAUUUUUUAGUUGCUCUAUUUAAGGUUUUUAAAUUUAGGAAUAAUUUAGUUAAGGAAUUGCCCAUCUAUAUUUUGAAAUAUUUCAUUUUCAGGAAGUAAAUUAAAUUUAUAUUUUAUAGUAUGCAUACAUUUUCCUGAUUCUGAUAUUGAACUGCAGUACACUCUAAUGAGAAAAUCUAUUGACUCAAAAAUAACUUUUGUUAGCAAUUCAGUAAUUCUGAAAUAAAAAUGAGCAAUGGUUGCUGAUGGUUUCCCUUUAUAUGUGACUAAUCCUCAAAAUAGUACAUUAAUACAUACAAAAUAACAUUGGAUCUAAAAUUCAAUUUAUGACUUUUUAUAAAAAAAGAUAUGCAUAUUAUUUAAUUUUAAAUUACUUCUAUAUUUUAUUUGAAUUACAUUAAUUUAGAAUAAAUAUUCUUCACUUUUGAGAAGAAUACAAUCUGUUAUUGGGAAAUCUCUGUUUGCCUUAAGAACAAAAUCCUUAAAAGGUUUUUAACCCAAUCCUUGACAAUAAUUUGUCCUUUUAGAUAAUUAUUAUCACAUGUGGCCUAUUUAUAACCAUUGGUUAAACUUAGAUCUAAAAUACAGGCGCAUUGCAAUGUAAUUUUAGCAGUUCGACAUCCUAUUUCCUUUACAUUUCUUCAAUUUACUAAUUUCACUCAUCAAAUGUCAUGUCUAUGAAAUUUAAUCUACUUUUACAUUUUAAAAUAAUUAAAAAUCAAAAAAUAUGUUUCAGACUGUUUAUCCUUUAUUCUGAAAAUAGUUUGAUCACUUUUAAUGUGUUCUUCCCCUAUAAAUCUGUUCCAGUUUUUGCAUAUCUGUAGAUACGUUUGUUUUGUUAUGUACAAGGACAUGAAUAUAUUCGUUUUAUAUUCUGAAAAAUGGUUAUCUUCAUAAUGUUAACAUAAAAAGUGAGUGCAAGAAGCAAGCGUUCAUAACUGAUUGUGAAUACUGUUACUUUUAUUAUUUUUCUACUAUAGAAAUAAAGUUACACAUUUGAUUGUGAGGGACAGAGAAUAAGAUUUGAGAAACAAAUUACUAAGAAAAAUAUAGCUUAGAAUAUAUAGUAAAACACUUCUGCCAAUAGGUACUUUGGGCAUCUUAGUACUUUGGGGCAAAUAAUCAGGCCAGGUCCUUCUUAAUAUCCAGUGGGAAUAUUAGUUUGGCUUUUAAUAAAACAUAUAUAAUUAAUUGCAGCAGAAUAUUUUAGUUGUUUAAAUCUUCAUUGUGUCUGUAUUAACAUGUUUUAUCUUUUUAAUUUCAAGGAAAAUCUAACAUUUUAUAAAGUAAAUUAGUUUUAAAUAAUAUGUAUACAUUAAUAUGGUACAGUACUAUAAAACACUGUUAACAUUGUGUAAAUAUGUUUAAGUUUUGGUUGGUUGUGUAAAAUAUUUGAAAUGUUUUAUGUUUUCUUAAAUUAAAAAAAAGAUUCUGGUGGCUGUUAA